GUCGAGGGGCAACACGGGUAGCAAUACCUGGUGGCGACCGGCGCAAGGGUGCGUAACGCGUGAGCAACAUGCCCUAUACAGGGGGAUAAUCCAGGGAAACUUGGUCUAAUAUCCCAUAGUAUUUAGAGGUGGCAUCACCACUAAAUUAAAGCUUCGGUGGUAUAGGAUUGGCUCGCGUGACAUUAGCUUGAUGGUGGGGUAACGGCUCACCAUGGCGAUGAUGUCUAGGGGUUCUGAGAGGAAGACCCCCCACACUGGGACUGAGACACGGCCCAGACUCCUACGGGAGGCAGCAGUGAGGAAUAUUGGACAAUGGAUGGAAAUCUGAUCCAGCCAUGCCGCGUGCAGGAAGACGGCCCUAUGGGUUGUAAACUGCUUUUAUAUGGGAGCAAUAAGGUUUACGCGUAGACCGAUGAGAGUACCAUAUGAAUAAGCAUCGGCUAACUCCGUGCCAGCAGCCGCGGUAAUACGGAGGAUGCGAGCGUUAUCCGGAUUUAUUGGGUUUAAAGGGUGCGUAGGCGGCCUUGUAAGUCAGCGGUGAAAUUUUGCAGCUUAACUGUAACAGUGCCGUUGAUACUGCGGGGCUAGGAUUUGGUUGCUGUGGGUGGAAUGUGUGGUGUAGCGGUGAAAUGCUUA
rnacentral:rRNA from 1 species